rnacentral:rRNA from 1 species
GACGAACGCUUUCGGCGUGCUUAACACAUGCAAGUCGAACGGAAAGGCCCUGCUUUUGUGGGGUGCUCGAGUGGCGAACGGGUGAGUAACACGUGAGUAACCUGCCCUUGACUUUGGGAUAACUUCAGGAAACUGGGGCUAAUACCGGAUAGGAGCUCCUGCUGCAUGGUGGGGGUUGGAAAGUUUCGGCGGUUGGGGAUGGACUCGCGGCUUAUCAGCUUGUUGGUGGGGUAGUGGCUUACCAAGGCUUUGACGGGUAGCCGGCCUGAGAGGGUGACCGGCCACAUUGGGACUGAGAUACGGCCCAGACUCCUACGGGAGGCAGCAGUGGGGAAUAUUGCACAAUGGGCGGAAGCCUGAUGCAGCAACGCCGCGUGCGGGAUGACGGCCUUCGGGUUGUAAACCGCUUUCGCCUGUGACGAAGCGUGAGUGACGGUAAUGGGUAAAGAAGCACCGGCUAACUACGUGCCAGCAGCCGCGGUGAUACGUAGGGUGCGAGCGUUGUCCGGAUUUAUUGGGCGUAAAGGGCUCGUAGGUGGUUGAUCGCGUCGGAAGUGUAAUCUUGGGGCUUAACCCUGAGCGUGCUUUCGAUACGGGUUGACUUGAGGAAGGUAGGGGAGAAUGGAAUUCCUGGUGGAGCGGUGGAAUGCGCAGAUAUCAGGAGGAACACCAGUGGCGAAGGCGGUUCUCUGGGCCUUUCCUGACGCUGAGGAGCGAAAGCGUGGGGAGCGAACAGGCUUAGAUACCCUGGUAGUCCACGCUGUAAACGGUGGGUACUAGGUGUGGGGUCCAUUCCACGGGUUCCGUGCCGUAGCUAACGCUUUAAGUACCCCGCCUGGGGAGUACGGCCGCAAGGCUAAAACUCAAAGGAAUUGACGGGGCCCCGCACAAGCGGCGGAGCAUGCGGAUUAAUUCGAUGCAACGCGUAGAACCUUACCUGGGUUUGACAUGGAUCGGGAGCGCUCAGAGAUGGGUGUGCCUCUUUUGGGGUCGGUUCACAGGUGGUGCAUGGCUGUCGUCAGCUCGUGUCGUGAGAUGUUGGGUUAAGUCCCGCAACGAGCGCAACCCUUGUUCACUGUUGCCAGCACGUUAUGGUGGGGACUCAGUGGAGACCGCCGGGGUCAACUCGGAGGAAGGUGGGGAUGACGUCAAGUCAUCAUGCCCCUUAUGUCCAGGGCUUCACGCAUGCUACAAUGGCUGGUACAGAGAGUGGCGAGCCUGUGAGGGUGAGCGAAUCUCGGAAAGCCGGUCUCAGUUCGGAUUGGGGUCUGCAACUCGACCUCAUGAAGUCGGAGUCGCUAGUAAUCGCAGAUCAGCAACGCUGCGGUGAAUACGUUCCCGGGGCU